UCUGGGCUCUAUAUAACUGUAGAGAGCCCCAGCCCACGUCCGAUCACUUUUUACGCAAGCGAACAGAUUUAUCGUAAACGGAAACCCAUUUUAGCGUAAACAGAGUAACAACCGCGAGCCCUACAUGUUUACGCUAUUCCAUUCUUCCGUUUAUACAUAAUAGUGAUUUAGCAUAACUACUCUAGCCGACCCACGUUCCAGAAAUAAAGGAAUGGGCCCACUACCCCACUUCCCACGCGGUCAAACACUUCUAUACCCUAACCCCCGCGCGGUCAACCAUCCUGGCCGACUCGCCGCGUUUCUUCAGCGGUCGCCUGGGCGAUUCUUGUUCAUCCGCCGCCGCCAGCCCGUUUCGCCGUCCUCCACCGCCGCACGCCCUCAACAUUAAUCGCCGCCGCCGUUGACAGCAUCGUCGAGCCGCUGUCGUUGUCAAUCUUGCGCGCCCCGCGUCACAUUGGCUCACGUCCGCGGUCGCUAUGUCGUCCGGAUUCCAAGUGUGAAUCGCCUUCAUUUGUCUCCGCACGAACUCAACCCUAAUCGGCGCCGCCGUUGACAGUGUCGUCGAGCCGGCCGCUGCUGUCAAUCCUCCGCCACCGCGUCCUAUAGGACCUAGCGCCCCUUUUCGUGGCGGCGGUGCUCCUUUUGGUAUAGAUGUCCCAUUUGGACCACCAGGUCCUGACAUGCUCCCGACAUUUGUCAAUUGGAGUACCUAUGGAGCUGUGACACCAAUACAAGAUCAGGGAGACUGUGGUUCGUGCUGGGCAUUUGGUGUCACCGGUCUCAUAGAGGCAGCUCACUUCAUACGAAACAAGGAGUUAAUAAAACUUUCUGAGCAACACCUGAUAGAUGGAAACAACCUCAGGAACUUUGGAUGCAAACAUGGAUCAUGCUCCGAGGCCCUAGACUACAUUAUGAGAAACGGUGGAAUUAUCAAUGCAGAAAGUUACCCAUACAAGGAAGCCCAAGAGCCUGUCCGGUCUAUCACGGUUCAUGCUGGGCAUUUGGUGUCACCGGUCUCAUAUAGGCAGCUCACUUCAUACGAAACAAGGAGUUAAUAAAACUUUCUGAGCAACACAUAAUAGAUGGAAACAACCUCAGGAACUUUGGAUGCAAACAUGGAUCAUGCUCCGAGGCCCUAGACUACAUUAUGAGAAACAGUAGAAUUAUCAAUGCAGAAAGUUACCCAUACAAGGAAGCCCAAGGGCCUGUCCGGUCUAUCACGGUACAUAAUUCAACCUCCCCACUACACUUGUUUCCACAUCAAAAUAUCAACCCCUACUUCAUAAAGGUAUGUAUAAUUCACAUCAUUGCAUAUAUCUUCACCCACACAAUUUGAGCAUACAAUGAGUCUAAAAGAACAGGUCCGUGAACCUUUAUCAAACCUAAAGCUCUAUGAUAAAUAACUGAACCAUAAUCGCACAAGAACAGUAAGAUCAAUGAAGACCGUUGGUGGGCAUGUGAAAUACCUAUAGGACGCGGUGGCGGAGGAUUGACAGCAGCGGCCGGCUCGACGACACUGUCAACGGCGGCGCCUAUUAGGGUUGAGUUCGCGCGGAGACAAAUGAAAGCGAUUCACACUGCCGGAGUGGGGAAAGAGAUUAGGAAGUUGCAUUGUAAAGCAUAAAAUUAAAAAAUCAACUCGAGCACCUUGGAAUCCGGACGACAUAGCGACCGCGGACGCGAGCCAAUGUGACGCGGGGCGCGCAAGAUUGACAACGGCAGCGGCUCGACGAUGCUGUCAACGGCGGCGGCGAUUAAUGUUGAGGGCGUGCGGCGAUGGAGGACGGCGAAACGGGCUGGCGGCGGCGGAUGAACAAGAAUCGCCCAGGCGACCGCUGAAGAAACGCGGCGAGUCGGCCAGGAUGGUUGACCGCGCGGGGGUUAGGGUAUAGAAGUGUUUGACCGCGUGGGAAGUGGGGUAGUGGGCCCAUUCCUUUAUUUCUGGAACGUGGGUCGGCUGGAGUAGUUAUGCUAAAUCACUAUUAUGUAUAAACGGAAGAAUGGAAUAGCGUAAACAUGUAGGGCUCGUGGUUGUUACUCUGUUUACGCUAAAAUGGGUUUCCGUUUACGAUAAAUCUGUUCGCUUGCGUAAAAAGUGAUCGGACGUGGGCUGGGGCUCUCUACAGUUAUAUAGAGCCCAGGGCUCUUAAUAGAUAAACUAUAUAUAUAUAUAUAUAUAUAUAUAUAUGCCCUUCUAAUAACUCGGGAAGCCAUUGCUAGACGUGCCAUCUGGUUAAGCCAGUUCGGGCGUCUAUAAAAUAAGCCCUAGAGCGGGACGAAAUAAUGGAAGCCCAGGGCUUCCAUUAGUAUCGGGAAGCCCCAGCCAAUUAGACGGAAUCGGUCAGAGCGCAGGUUUGUUCG